CCCUUAGAUGUCCGGGGCCGCACGCGCGCUACACUGAAGGGAUCAGCGUGGCUUUCUCCCUGACCCGAAAGGGUUGGGAAACCCGUUGAAUCUCCUUCGUGAUAGGGAUUGGGGCUUGAAAUUGUUCCCCACGAACGAGGAAUUCCCAGUAAGCGCGAGUCAUAAGCUCGCGUUGAUUACGUCCCUGCCCUUUGUACACACCGCCCGUCGCUACUACCGAUUGAACGGUUUAGUGAGGGCCUCGGAUUGGUCUCGGCCCGCUCUUUACCGGGCGGCGCCGUUGGUCGAGAAGACGCUCGAACUUGAUCGUUUAGAGGAAGUAAAAGUCGUAACA
rnacentral:rRNA from 1 species